AUUCCUGGUAUCUACUACCCUUUCUAUAUCACUGUUCCUGCUCCCACUGGAAGGCUAUUCCAGGUAUCAACUACCCUUUCUAUAUCACUGUUACUGCUCCCACUGGAAGGCUAUUCCGUGUAUCUACUACCCUUUCUAUAUCACUGUUACUGCUCCCACUGGAAGGCUAUUCCAGGUAUCUACUACCCUUUCUAUAUCACUGUUACU